rnacentral:rRNA from 1 species
UACGUAGGGUGCGAGCGUUAAUCGGAAUUACUGGGCGUAAAGCGUGCGCAGGCGGUUUUGUAAGCCAGAUGUGAAAUCCCCGGGCUUAACCUGGGAAUGGCAUUUGGGACUGCAAGGCUGGAGUUUGGCAGAGGAGACUGGAAUUCUCGGUGUAGCGGUGAAAUGCGUAGAUAUCGAGAGGAACACCUGCGGCGAAGGCGGGUUGCUGGGCUGACACUGACGCUGAAGCGCGAAAGCUAGGGGAGCGAACGGG